CCUUCUUUUAAAUCUAAUGUUAGUUUAAAUGCUAAGGCUUUCAAAGUGGGCCUUUAAAGUCACUUUUUAGAAUUUGUAUUUUUUUUUAACCUAAAAUAGACAUGCCAACAUUAUUCUGACUAAAAGAAGUAGACAAGGUCAUUCAACUCCUAAAAGCUUAUUUUCCAAAAGCACAGUUAGGUCUCAGCUUUCAGGGUGCUUCUGGCUGUAUCAAAAAGACAGAAUAUACUGGUCACUGUGUUGUUUUCUGAAAGUGCCGAGGGUAAUCUGUGUAUGAGUUAAAGGGCCAAUUUCCUAUAGGAACCUUCUCUUAGAUGGGAUUUUUUUUUAAUUAAACAAUGUUGGUGAAAUAUAUUUAAACGUAAAUCACAAAUUCGAAGUCUUCCAAAUAUUUAUUUACUAAUGUGGAAGACAUGGAAACUACAGUAAU
rnacentral:lncRNA from 1 species